CAAAACGGAUCCUAUAUGUUAUUUUCCAAAAACCCUAGACACCACAUUCAUCUCCAUUCUCCUUUCAUCUCCGUUCUGGUUCAAGCAUACGAUUCAAGCAUUGCCAUUCCGAGUCAAUCAUCUUCUUUCUCCUUCAUCUCCAUUAAGUAGGGGUCGCAUUCUUCUUCCGAUGAUUCCGUCUUUGUUCACCGACUAUACUUUGGUUCGGAUCUUCAAAUUGGAAUCAUCCAAAACUGAAAAUUGGAUAUCAUAUAAAUUCCAAUAACUGAAGACCUCAAGACCACCGCAUAUUACAGGCUCACUUUUCUGAAACCCUAAAUCUCAAAACGUGAUUCUCCUUCAAUUGUUCACCGCGGAUUCAUCAUUCAGGUUACCAUGAACUUAUGUGUCUCUGCUUAUUUAAAAUAUGAAUCAUUCAAGUUAUUUUGUCAGAAUAGGUUGUUGGUGUACGAAUAUAUCAACAAUGGAAUUUAGAAUAAUGGCUUCACGGAGUUAUGCGCUACCAUGGAUAUCUUACCUCGAAGGCUUGGAUAAAGGUUCUUCUUGGGACAACAAUGGCAUUUUUUGAGGUUCAAGGAUUUGAGAAGCGUAAUGAUGAGCAGGCGCUGGAACUUAUGAACGCAUAUGUCGUUGCUGUGUUAGAUGAGUUAACGGCAUUGUAUUUGCAUAUCGACGUUGUUUUGAAGAAAAAAGACCAGCUCAAUCAAAGAGGUGCCAGGUCCGUCUUCCAUCAUUUAUACUAUACAACAUGACUGUUAAUGGUUAAUGUGAAUGGGUCAUCAGUGGUUUGUUUUGGGGUAAACUCAUCAGGAUGAUGACCAAUAUUAUAUAUCAUAAGACUAAGGUUAUAUACCAAGUUCGUUUUUUCUUAUCUGAAACAAUCCGGUAUAUCUCGGUGGAAAACACAAGAGUUACAAAUUUGUGUUUAAUUCAAAGGGUGAUGAAGAAGCUAUGGUAUGCUUAUAAUCAUUUUAACCUUUAGGUAUAUUUAUAUUAACAUUUCUACAUAUUAUUAACUUCUACGGGCAAAUAUGUCUAGAUGGGAGCCUGUGCAUGGGCUUUAAUGUUUAGCCAUUCAUGGAAACAAUACGUAAAACUUGGAGCCUCGAUGCGUACUUGUGCGUACUGCAUUGAAACUCCAAAAUGGUUUCAUCAUUUCUAAAGCUCUGGUUAAAAAAUCUUAAUAUUUCUAUUUGAUUAUAGAUGUCUGUUUUUACAUGUUAUUGCAUCGAUUGCGCUUUUGUGUUUCGUUUAUAUGCAAAAGUGAGUCGCACUAAGGUGAUAGGGUCACUCAUGUUGUCUCUAACUAAGAUAAACUAUAUGGUUGAGCUGGUCAGCGACGGAUAACAAAGAUGAUUAGCAUGGAGCUUGGAGUUAAAAGGUGUCGGGCGCACUAAGGCGAUAGGGUCUCGAGCCGAGAUGCAAGGCGCAAGAGCAUGUCGCUUUUCUUAGGCAAGACGCAAUAGCAUGUUGCCAUUUAUAAAACUUAUAUGAUACUUGUAUAGCUUUAUCGUUUUAUUUAUAGUGAAUAUGUUUAUAAUAUUAUUAACGUUUUUCAUUUCAUUAUCCAUAUUUUUUGGUGCCAUGCAAAUAUUACUGAAGAGCUGCACUGAAAAUCUUGAUUCCUUGGCUCACCUGGUGAGUUAUUUUAUUUUAAUCUCUACUCAAGUUAAUAUAUUAUUUUGAAACUUUCUGCAUGCUUAUGUUUCUUCCCUUGGUUUUCUUGGGAGGUCGUUAUUAUUAUUUACCAAAAGAUAUAGGCAAAAUGAGAUUUAGGUGACCUGUGAUCAUUCACUUGCAAUUUGCAUGUGCUUUAAUGCUUUAUGGUUAACUCUUUUUAUUAUUCUAAAUCUUGUAUGGUUUAUAUAUUCACACACUUUCUCUUAUUUGUAACUUUUUUUAAAACUCAAUCUUCACUGCAAGUGCUGUUGAAGGAGCUACUUAUUUCAUUCGUGUACCAACAAAGCAACGUUUUAGGGAUCGAUAAAGGAAGAUUAUGCAGCAAUUAAUCCUCCCAGUGGUUUUCAAGGUGGGACAUUAAUGCGAUGCCGCAACUACCAGAAUAUAUAAAACCAUUCUACGAAAUUAUAUUGAAUGAGUAUGUUGAAUUCAACAAACAAGGAUUAACUGAUCUUACCGAGGCUUCAAAAAAAGUUGUUUUGACAAACCGGCGCACUCUCAUUUUCAAUUGUAUAUUCAGCUCCAGAGAGAGAGAUUUAAGGCUCGGAUUCCUCUUUCCGGUUAUCGGAUCUCUGCCGUGACACGGCCCCAUGGUGUCUUCUAGACCCCCCGGGUAGCUUGGCUCGGUGGGUCGGGUACAAUCGGGUGCAAUCGAUGAUGGGAAACGGAUCUUUUUACAAUCCUAAAAAGAUUAUUGGGGUUUGAAUUUGCAUAUAACUUCAUGUAUUUUGUUUUUGUGAGAACCGUAGACUUCUAAAACUUAGUGAAGAAGUCUUUUUUAUUCAAGUUUAGGGACUUAUUCAUGAAAAAAAGACUUUUUCAUUUAUAUUUUGAUAUGUACAUGGAUUUUAUCUCCCAAAAUAGAACUUUAUGUUAGUAACAAAGUGUGAGGACUUUAUUGUCGAGUAAUUUCACGGAGUGUAUACAUGUAAUUCUUUUAUUUAUUCAAGCUUUUCCUUCACUGGCC